rnacentral:misc_RNA from 1 species
AUAACUGUCAGUUUUGGGAGUGUCAAGUCUCUUAUAAGCAUGCCCUGCUUUAUGUCCCAUGCAAGUAUACCAGUGGCAUUGCGAGAGGCCAGAGGUCUCACUGAAGAUCUUGUUCGUAUCUCUGUGGGGAUAGAAGACGUCAAUGAUCUGAUUUCUGAUUUAGACCAUGCACUAAGAACUGGGCCAUUGUAGGCACUUGAGUGUUUGACCCUCUAUUGAAUCUGAAGUUAUCUUUGCUUUAAAUUGAACAAGC